UACGGGGGGAGCAAGCGUUGUUCGGAUUUACUGGGCGUAAAGGGCGCGUAGGCGGUCGUGACAAGUCACUUGUGAAAUCUCCGGGCUUAACUCGGAACGGUCAAGUGAUACUGUCGGACUAGAGUACAGAAGGGGCAACUGGAAUUCUCGGUGUAGCGGUGAAAUGCGUAGAUAUCGAGAGGAACACCUGCGGCGAAGGCGGGUUGCUGGGCUGACACUGACGCU
rnacentral:rRNA from 1 species